rnacentral:rRNA from 1 species
UACGUAGGGAGCAAGCGUUGUCCGGAAUCAUUGGGCGUAAAGCGCGCGUAGGCGGCCUCAUAAGUCCGUUGUGAAAGUCAAAGGCUCAACCUUUGAAAGCCGAUGGGAUACUGUGAGGCUAGAGUCCGGGAAGAGGCGAGUGGAAUUCCUGGUGUAGCGGUGGAAUGCGCAGAUAUCAGGAGGAACACCAAUAGCGAAGGCAGCUCGCUGGGACGGUACUGACGCUAAGGCGCGAAAGCGUGGGGAGCGAACAGG